rnacentral:rRNA from 1 species
CACAAACCGUCGGAGCCUCUGUGUGGGGUGACGGCGUGCCUAUCGAAAAAUGAGUCUGCGAGUCAGUGGCGGGUGGCGAGCAUAAGCCGUGUGGCGUAUGCGUAGCGAAAGCGAGUCUUAAAAGGCGUUUUUUAGUCGCUUGUCCUGGACCCGAAGCGGGAUGAUCUAGCCCUGGGCAGGUUGAAGCGCGGGUAAGACCGCGUGGAGGACCGAACCCACCUGGGUUGAAAACCGGGGGGAUGACCUGGGGCUAGGGGUGAAAGGCCAAUCAAAUUCCGUGAUAGCUGGUUCUCUCCGAAAUGCAUUUAGGUGCAGCGUCGGUCGAUUGCGUCGCGGGGGUAGAGCUACCGGAUGCUUGCGGGCCUUGUGGGUACCAACAGCAGCCGAACUCCGAAUACCGUUGACGUGUAUUCCGGCAGUGAGUCGGCGGGGGAUAAGGCUCCGUCGUCGAGAGGGAGACAGCCCAGACCGUCGUCUAAGGUCCGAAGCGUGUGC